AAAAAGAUCCCCGUCCUACAGCUGUGGGCGGUGGGGUGAACCCUGUGUGCCACGGGGCGGUUUGGGGUGAGGGAUGUCCUCCCUAUGGGACUCUGCUCCCCACCAGGAGGGGCCACCGGUCCUUCCCACUCGGAGGCGGGGAACAAACCCGGCCCUGACCCCACUUCUCCCUUUGCUUUGCAGAAUGCAGUGAGCUGCUGUCCUGUGAGCUGUGCACGGCUGCUCCUCCAGCACCCAACGGCACCGGCUGCCUCUGGGGGGGCUGUGGGGCACCGGAGACGUGGAGCUGCAUGCACAGCGGGGCGGCCGCGCGGGACACAUGUGUGCUCUACAACAGCAGUGCCCUGUGCCCAGCAGCACUGAAAUCCCCCACCAAAGAGCCGCCGCGGUCCCCUAGCAAGGAGCCGGUAACGCAUUCCCCACGUGAGUGGGGCUGGGGUGGGAUGGGAUGGGAUGGGAUGGGAUGGGAUGGGAUGGGAUAGGUUGGAA